GUAUAAGUUUACGGUGAACAAUUAGCUCAGGUUCUUUGAAUCUUUGCUAUAUCAGCAUUAGACUUUGUUGUCAUUUGCUAAACCUUAGCCUGCACUACGAUCUAGAAAGUUAGCUUCCUGAAGAGUCAGACAGUCGAUUAGUCUCUCGUCGGUAAGCUGUCAGCCAAUCGAUCAACUUUCGCAAGUCUCUCAUCGGCAAGCCUUUACUGUUUAUCUCUCCUCUCUGCUUCUUUGGCCCUUAAUUCAUCCUACAAACGUUUUAUGUCCGCAUCAAGCUUAGAUAUGCUUUGCGCAAUGAAUCAGUUUGCACCUCAUCCAGUUGUUUCAAUUGAAGUGGUCUGCCUUCAUUUGCAUUCAAAGGUUCAUUGAGGCUCUCUUCCACUCCAAAAUCAGCCUCCUGAAGAUUCUUUGGAGUACUGGUGACAAUUUGCUUCUGAUUUAGGUUGAUAACCUCAACAUGCUCUAAGUUUAGCAAAUUGAUAGCAGUUUCUUGAAUGACAGCUUCGACUCCAUGGUCACUUUCAGCAAUAUUGCCAGGCAAUAGAGAGGCAGGUCGUUGUUUACAAGUCUCUCAUCAUGGAGUUCUCCUGCAUUGAACUCGAUUUUUUGAGCUACUUCAAAGACUGUUGUGUCGAGAACCUACAAGUCUGAGAACCUACAAUUAAGAAGACUUGAUUUCAGUUAUCAAAGUUAAAUUACAAAGAUUUUAAGUUUGCGGUUAGGAAAUAGGUUACGUUUAAACACAUUUGUGGCCACUUCAUUCAGAAGGAUCAAUCUGGGA
rnacentral:lncRNA from 1 species